AUGCAGACCAUUAAGUGUGCUGUUGUAAGCAAUGAUGCCAUUGGUAAAACAUACCGAUAUCCUACACAACAAACAAAUUUACAUCUGAAAAUGUACCAACUAUUUCUAACAACUAUGUGGUCAUGGUUAUGGUUGGUGGAGAGCCAUAUGCUCUUGGACUUUUUGACACUUCUGGGCAAGAGGGUUAUAAAAGAUUGCAAUUGCUAAGUAUCUACAAACAGAUGUAUUUCUAGUCAGUUUUUCAGUGGUAUCUCCGUCCUCAUUCAAAAAUGUGAAAGAAAAGUGGGUGCCUGUGAUAACUCACCGCUAUCCAAAGAUUCCUUUCUUGCUUGUCGAGACCCAAAUUCAUCUCAGAGAAUGAUCCCUCUACUCUUGUAAAACUUGCCAAGAACAAAAAACAGAAGCCUAUCACUCCAGACUGGCCUCGGACUGGAAGGCUGUUGAGUAUGCAGAGCAUUCUGCACUCACAGAGAAGGGCCUAAAGA
rnacentral:lncRNA from 1 species